GACGAACGCUGGCGGCGUGCCUAAUACAUGCAAGUUGAGCGCUGAAGGUUGGUACUUGUACCGACUGGAUGAGCAGCGAACGGGUGAGUAACGCGUGGGGAAUCUGCCUUUGAGCGGGGGACAACAUUUGGAAACGAAUGCUAAUACCGCAUAAAAACUUUAAACACAAGUUUUAAGUUUGAAAGAUGCAAUUGCAUCACUUAAAGAUGAUCCCGCGUUGUAUUAGCUAGUUGGUGAGGUAAAGGCUCACCAAGGCGAUGAUACAUAGCCGACCUGAGAGGGUGAUCGGCCACAUUGGGACUGAGACACGGCCCAAACUCCUACGGGAGGCAGCAGUAGGGAAUCUUCGGCAAUGGACGAAAGUCUGACCGAGCAACGCCGCGUGAGUGAAGAAGGUUUUCGGAUCGUAAAACUCUGUUGGUAGAGAAGAACGUUGGUGAGAGUGGAAAGCUCAUCAAGUGACGGUAACUACCCAGAAAGGGACGGCUAACUACGUG
rnacentral:rRNA from 1 species